UACGAAGGGGGGCUAGCGUUGCUCGGAAUGACUGGGCGUAAAGGGCGCGUAGGCGGUUUGUACAGUCAGAUGUGAAAUUCCUGGGCUCAACCUGGGGGCUGCAUUUGAUACGUAUGGACUGGAGUGAGGAAGAGGGUCGUGGAAUUCCCAGUGUAGAGGUGAAAUUCGUAGAUAUUGGGGAAAGAACACCGGUGGCGAAGGCGGCGACCUGGUCCUUUACUGACGCUGAGGCGCGAAAGCGUGGGGAGCAAACAGG
rnacentral:rRNA from 1 species